rnacentral:rRNA from 1 species
AUUGAACGCUGGCGGCAGGCUUAACACAUGCAAGUCGAGCGGGGGAAGGUGCUUCGGUACUGACCUUAGCGGCGGACCGGUGAGUAAUGCUUAGGAAUCUGCCUAUUAGUGGGGGACAACAUCUCGAAAGGGAUGCUAAUACUGCAUACGUCCUACGGGAGAAAGCAGGGGAUCACUUGUGACCUUGCUCUAAUAGAUGAGCAUAAGGAGGAUUAGCUAGUUGGUGGGGUAAAGGCCUAUCAAUGCGACGAUCUGUAGCGGGUCUGAGAGGAUGAUCCGCCACACUGGGACUGAGACACGGCCCAGACUCCUACGGGAGGCAGCAGUGGGGAAUAUUGGACAAUGGGGGGAACCCUGAUCCAGCCAUGCCGCGUGUGUGAAGAAGGCCUUAUGGUUGUAAAGCACUUUAAGCGAGGAGGAGGCUCUUUUGGUUAAUACCCAAGAUGAGUGGACGUUACUCGCAGAAUAAGCACCGGCUAACUCUGUGCCAGCCGCCGCGGUAA